UUGCUCACUUCUGCAGUACAUAUACUAAAAUUGGAACGAUACAGAGAUUAGCAUAGCCCCUAUGCAGGCAUGACAUGCAAAUUCAUGAAGUGUUCCAUAUAAAA